GAUAAACGCUGGCGGCGUGCUUAACACAUGCAAGUCGAACGGAAAGGCCCAAGCUUGCUUGGGUACUCGAGUGGCGAACGGGUGAGUAACACGUGGGGGAUCUGCCCUGCACUUCGGGAUAAGCCUGGGAAACUGGGUCUAAUACCGGAUAGGACGAUGGUUUGGAUGCCAUUGUGGAAAGUUUUUUCGGUGUGGGAUGAGCUCGCGGCCUAUCAGCUUGUUGGUGGGGUAAUGGCCUACCAAGGCGUCGACGGGUAGCCGGCCUGAGAGGGUGUACGGCCACAUUGGGACGGGGAUGCGGCCCAGACUCCUACGGGAGGCAGCAGUGGGGAAUAUUGCACAAUGGGAGCAAGGAUGAUGCAGCGACGCAGCGUGGGGGAUGAGGGCAUUCGGGUUGUAAACUCCUCUCGCUAGGGACGAAGCGUUUUUGUGACGGUACCUGGAGAAGAAGCACCGGCUAACUACGUG
rnacentral:rRNA from 1 species